AAGACACCCCAUGAGACUAGAAAAAUCAGUUGGAGAAUGUAGAGUAAAAAGGGCCAUAGCUCAAGGAUAGAGAAUGCAUCUGUGCCUUUGAAGAAAAUGUUGGAAGAGAAUGAUUUUCCCCAUAUUCUGGAAAAAAAGAUCCAAUAAAAAUAUAAAGUUCUAAGUUCUGACUGCUCCUGUGGACAUGUGGAUUUUCUCAGCCCGCUUCUUUCCCUUCUCUCCUGGGAGCUUCAGCUGCUUAUGUGUGGAUUUUGUUUCCUUGACUGUUCACCUGUGGCUUGAAGGAGUCCUGGGCAAUCAGACCCACCUACCCAGGAUAAACAUGUGACCCAACCAAGGCCACGGAGGAGCAUUCCCACACCAGAAACUAUCAGAAAAGAGGUGCUCCCUUCUGCUGAGGUGGCUAAGCUGAGUCAACAAAGGCCAGAUUUUCUGGUAGCCAUCUUGAGCACCAUUUGAGGAGAAUCUCCCUGAGAAUUAAGCCAAUAGAGAUGUUAGCUGAGCCAAGAGAUGAAGAUGGAUAAAUUUCUGUGACUUUGGUUAAGUCCCUAAACAUAGCCAUGCUGAAAGCUGAAUCUAUACCUGAGAUUCUUAACUUAAAUAAGCUAAGAGAAUUUUUGGCUUCGUUGAGUUUAUUUCCAAGUCAACCAAAAAUGUUUGGACUAAUACACACAGUUUUAUGUUUUCUUUUAUUGUAUUUAAUAUUGAUUUUGAACUUAAGGAACAAGAUAAAGUAUUGAUUUCAAAUUGAAGGAAAAGAGCAUAUUUCUAAAUAAAUCUCUCCUGGUUACUCCCUAUUCAACUAGUUUUAAGAAAGCUUUAUUGUAUAAUUGUUAAACCUAAAGGUAUAUUUUCUAAAAGUUAUAAGCAAACCAGAGAUUUAUCCCAUGGUUUUUGAUAUAAGGCUACUUAAAAGACUGCUUUGUGUAAGAUGAGUUUAUAUUAAGAUAUAAGAAAGCGAAUAGUGCUCUCAUGGUCUUGCUGGAAACUCAUAGGAAAUCGAGUCUUA
rnacentral:lncRNA from 1 species